UGGCGGCGUGCCUAAUACAUGCAAGUCGAGCGCAGGAAACAAGUAGAUCCCUUCGGGGUGACGCUUGUGGAAUGAGCGGCGGACGGGUGAGUAACACGUGGGCAACCUACCUUGUAGACUGGGAUAACUCCGGGAAACCGGAGCUAAUACGGGAUGAUCACUUGAAUCGCAUGAUUGAAAUGUAAAAGUGGGGAGUAAUCCUCACACUAUGAGAUGGGCCCGCGGCGCAUUAGCUAGUUGGUAAGGUAAUGGCUUACCAAGGCAACGAUGCGUAGCCGACCUGAGAGGGUGAUCGGCCACACUGGAACUGAGACACGGUCCAGACUCCUACGGGAGGCAGCAGUAGGGAAUCAUCCGCAAUGGGCGAAAGCCUGACGGUGCAACGCCGCGUGAACGAUGAAGGUUUUCGGAUCGUAAAGUUCUGUUAUGAGGGAAGAACAAGUGCCGUUCGAAUAGGGCGGCACCUUGACGGUACCUCACGAGAAAGCCCCGGCUAACUACGUG
rnacentral:rRNA from 1 species